rnacentral:rRNA from 1 species
GGGGAAUAUUGCACAAUGGGCGCAAGCCUGAUGCAGCGACGCCGCGUGAGGGAUGAAGGCCUUCGGGUUGUAAACCUCUUUCGUCAGGGAACAAGGCACUACGUUUUGGUGGUGUUGAGGGUACCUGGAUAAGAAGCGCCGGCUAACUACGUGCCAGCAGCCGCGGUAAUACGUAGGGCGCAAGCGUUGUCCGGAAUUAUUGGGCGUAAAGAGCUCGUAGGCGGCUGGUCGCGUCUGUCGUGAAAACUUCCGGCUCAACCGGGGGCUUGCGGUGGGUACGGGCCGGCUAGAGUGCGGUAGGGGUAACUGGAACUCCUGGUGUAGCGGUGGAAUGCGCAGAUAUCAGGAAGAACACCGAUGGCGAAGGCAGGUUACUGGGCCGUUACUGACGCUGAGGAGCGAAAGCGUGGGGAGCGAACAGGAUUAGAUACCCUGGUAGUCCACGCUAUAAACGUUGGGCACUAGGUGUGAGGCUCCUUUCCGGGGGUUUUGCGCCGUAGCUAACGCAUUAAGUGCCCCGCCUGGGGAGUACGGCCGCAAGGCUA